GCCUGGCCUAUUAGCACAUGCCUGUAGUCCCAGCUACUCAGGAGGCUGAGGUGGUAGGGUCGCUUGACCUCAGGAGUUCUGGGCUAUAGUGUGCUAUGCUGGUGGGAUGUCUGCACUAAGUUCAGCUUUAAUAUGGUGACCUCCCAGGAGCGGGGGGCCACCAGGUUGCCUAAGGAGGGGUGAAGCAAGCCAGGUAGGAAAUGAAGCAGAUCAGAACUCCUGUGCCUAUCAGUGGUAGGAUGGUGCCUGUACUUGGCCACUGCACCCCAGCCUGGGCAACAUAGCAAGACCUCAUCUCU
rnacentral:SRP_RNA from 1 species